CUGGGAUCGGGGCGGCGCUGGCCGGGGCUGGGCUAGAUGAUAGAGACCCCACUAAGACCUUAUAGCAGAGUGGAGGUCUGAAGGCCCAAGGCUCUAUCUUUCUGUCUGUCUAUCUGUCCCACUAAGACCUUAUAGCAGACUGGAGGUCUGAAGGCCCAAGGCUCUAUCUUUCUGUCUAUCUAUCUGUCCCACUAAGACCUUAUAGCAGACUGGAGGUCUGAAGGCCCAAGGCUCUCUCUUUCUGUCUAUCUAUCUGUCCCACUAAGACCUUAUAGCAGACUGGAGGUCUGAAGGCCCAAGGCUCUAUCUUUCUGUCUAUCUAUCUGUCCCACUAAGACCUUAUAGCAGACUGGAGGUCUGAAGGCCCAAGGCUCUAUCUUUCUGUCUAUCUAUCUGUCCCACUAAGACCUUAUAGCAGACUGGAGGUCUGAAGGCCCAAGGCUCUAUCUUUCUGUCUAUCUAUCUGUCCCACUAAGACCUUAUAGCAGACUGGAGGUCUGAAGGCCCAAGGCUCUAUCUUUCUGUCUAUCUAUCUGUCCCACUAAGACCUUAUAGCAGACUGGAGGUCUGAAGGCCCAAGGCUCUAUCUUUCUGUCUAUCUAUCUGUCCCACUAAGACCUUAUAGCAGACUGGAGGUCUGAAGGCCCAAGGCUCUCUCUUUCUGUCAAUCUAUCUGUCCCACUAAGACCUUAUAGCAGACUGGAGGUCUGAAGGCCCAAGGCUCUCUCUUUCUGUCUAUCUAUCUGUCCCACUAAGACCUUAUAGCAGACUGGAGGUCUGAAGGCCCAAGGCUCUCUCUUUCUCUCUCUCCCCUUCCCCUGUGAGUUGUCCUCCCCCUGGUGCUACUGUAGAGAACCACUCUGAUGAGACAGGGGGUCAAUCUAAAAUGGAGCCUUAUUGCACGUGUAGGGCACUACUUCUGUCCAGAACCUCUUUUGCAGGCUAACCCCUCACAGCUCUGGCUAAAAGUAGUGCACUACCUAGGGAAUAGGGUGCUAUUAAGGACACAGAUAGACAGACAGUGUUCCUAGGUGGACGGUGGGGUCCUGGGCCGCUAAGUCAAAGCACACUGACAAAACUAAACUCCUUCCUCUGAGCCAGAGCAUGAGCCACAAUCACAAGAGGUUUCCUCCUCUUCCUCCCUCACACUGGGGACUAUUGAGUACGGUACGCACCACUACCCAAGGACUACAAAGAACUACAAAGAUGGAGGCGAACUACAAAGAUGGAGGGCAACGUCGACCACACUGACCUCUUGGAAAAUACCCGAGGCAAAAAUAAGAACAGCGAUGAACUGAAACAAUAGUGCCAUCUGACCGAUCCUCUCCUUUUUAUUACUGCAGCUGGACAAUAAAACAGUAACACAGUUCGUGUUGUUUAAAACAAAACAAAAAAAGACAAAAAGAAAACACAAUAACAUUUGCUGAAACGUGGACUGGCCACUCUGUAUGUGUGUGUGUUUGUGUUGCUGCACCACUGCUGUGUAGCGUUGUGACGGAAACAAGGCCAGAGUGAUACAAACCCUCUAUCUAGUUAUUCUAGGGACUCCUUCCUUCCUUCCCUCCUUCUCUCUCUCUUGGUCUCUCUCGUUCACACUUGGCUUCGCUCUGUCCUCCUUGUCCUCCUUCAUCUGUCAUAGCUGGGUCUCACUAGCUCUCUGUCCCUCCACCUGUGAUUUCUAAUGGUUUUUACAGAGAAAAUAUCAGUACUGCGUCUCACUUCUUCCCAAUGAUUUUUAAGUAGACUAUUUGACUUAGGGAAGAAAGAAAAAAAAACAUCUGGAAAAAUAGCACAAUAUUUGAAACGUUAGCCCCAUUUAUUUUCUGAAGCCCGUACUGUAGUCCUGUCUCUCUGAAGCCCGUACUGUAGUCCUGCCUCUCUGAAGCCUGUACUGUAGUCCUGCCUCUCUGAAGCCUGUACUGUAGUCCUGCCUCUCUGAAGCCUGUACUGUAGUCCUGCCUCUCUGAAGCCUGUACUGUAGUCCUGCCUCUCUGAAGCCUGUACUGUAGUCCUGCCUCUCUGAAGCCUGUACUGUAGUCCUGCCUCUCUGAAGCCUGUACUGUAGUCCUGCCUCUCUGAAGCCUGUACUGUAGUCCUGCCUCUCUGAAGCCUGUACUGUAGUCCUGCCUCUCUGAAGCCUGUACUGUAGUCCUGCCUCUCUGAAGCCUGUACUGUAGUCCUGCCUCUCUGAAGCCUGUACUGUAGUCCUGCCUCUCUGAAGCCUGUACUGUAGUCCUGCCUCCCUGAAGCCUGUACUGUAGUCCUGCCUCCCUGAAGCCUGUACUGUAGUCCUGCCUCUCUGAAGCCUGUACUGGAGUCCUGCCUCUCUGAAGCCUGUACUGUAGUCCUGCCUCUCUGAAGCCUGUACUGUAGUCCUGCCUCUCUGAAGCCUGUACUGUAGUCCUGCCUCUCGUAGCCAAGACUGAGGAGGAGAAUGUAGAAAUGGAACCAGGACAGUCAGUCGUCCCCUUAGGCUUCAUCACAAUGCGUUUGGCAGACGAGACAAGACGUGACGUCUCCUCUCCAUGCAUGUCACCAAGCACACUGGUUGACCCAGAAGCAUAAUAUAUGAAACCCUUUAGAAAAGGAUUUUAAAAAGCUUUGCUUUGGGGAGGAGAAUGAAGAAGCAGCUUUAUCUGGGCUACGCGCAAUUAGAAAGAAACAAAACAACAAAAUAUCAUCUGAAAUUUCCCCAAACAAAAUGGCCACUUCUCUGAAUCCUAGAAUACAGGAUCGCUCCAUUUCCC